rnacentral:rRNA from 1 species
GACGAAGGAUGCAAGCGUUAUCCGGAAUGAUUGGGCGUAAAGCGUCCGCAGGUGGCAAUGUAAGUCUGCUGUCAAAGCGUCUGGCUCAACCAGAUAAAGGCAGUGGAAACUACAUAGCUAGAGCAAGGUAGGGGUAGAGGGAAUUCCUGGUGUAGCGGUGAAAUGCGUAGAGAUCAGGAAGAACACCGGUGGCGAAAGCGCUCUGCUGGACCUUAACUGACACUGAGGGACGAAAGCUAGGGGAGCGAAUGGG